rnacentral:rRNA from 1 species
AGUAAUGUAUGGGGAUCUGCCCGAUAGAGGGGGAUAACUACUGGAAACGGUGGCUAAUACCGCAUAAUGUCUACGGACCAAAGCAGGGGCUCUUCGGACCUUGCACUAUCGGAUGAACCCAUAUGGGAUUAGCUAGUAGGUGGGGUAAAGGCUCACCUAGGCGACGAUCCCUAGCUGGUCUGAGAGGAUGAUCAGCCACACUGGGACUGAGACACGGCCCAG